CCUUGAUAGCUCAGUUGUUUACAGCAUGGUGCUGAUAAUGCCAAGGAUGCAGGAUUGAUCCCUGUACAGUGGU